UACGUAGGGUGCGAGCGUUGUCCGGAAUUAUUGGGCGUAAAGGGCUCGUAGGCGGUUUGUCGCGUCGGGAGUGAAAACCAGGUGCUUAACACCUGGCUUGCUUUCGAUACGGGCAGACUAGAGGUAUUCAGGGGAGAACGGAAUUCCUGGUGUAGCGGUGAAAUGCGCAGAUAUCAGGAGGAACACCGGUGGCGAAGGCGGUUCUCUGGGCCUUACCUGACACUGAGGAGCGAAAGCGUGGGGAGCGAACAGG
rnacentral:rRNA from 1 species